CUCUGUGGGAUCAGUGGCGAACGGGUGAGUAACACGUGAGCAACCUGCCCCUGACUCUGGGAUAAGCGCUGGAAACGGCGUCUAAUACUGGAUAUGUGACGUGAUCGCAUGGUCUGCGUCUGGAAAGAAUUUCGGUUGGGGAUGGGCUCGCGGCCUAUCAGCUUGUUGGUGAGGUAAUGGCUCACCAAGGCGUCGACGGGUAGCCGGCCUGAGAGGGUGACCGGCCACACUGGGACUGAGACACGGCCCAGACUCCUACGGGAGGCAGCAGUGGGGAAUAUUGCACAAUGGGCGCAAGCCUGAUGCAGCAACGCCGCGUGAGGGAUGACGGCCUUCGGGUUGUAAACCUCUUUUAGCAGGGAAGAAGCGAAAGUGACGGUACCUGCAGAAAAAGCGCCGGCUAACUACGUGCCAGCAGCCGCGGUAAUACGUAGGGCGCAAGCGUUAUCCGGAAUUAUUGGGCGUAAAGAGCUCGUAGGCGGUUUGUCGCGUCUGCUGUGAAAUCCGGAGGCUCAACCUCCGGCCUGCAGUGGGUACGGGCAGACUAGAGUGCGGUAGGGGAGAUUGGAAUUCCUGGUGUAGCGGUGGAAUGCGCAGAUAUCAGGAGGAACACCGAUGGCGAAGGCAGAUCUCUGGGCCGUAACUGACGCUGAGGAGCGAAAGGGUGGGGAGCAAACAGGCUUAGAUACCCUGGUAGUCCACCCCGUAAACGUUGGGAACUAGUUGUGGGGUCCAUUCCACGGAUUCCGUGACGCAGCUAACGCAUUAAGUUCCCCGCCUGGGGAGUACGG
rnacentral:rRNA from 1 species